UAGCAUUUGGGACAACAUGGGUAGACCUAGAGGGUGUUACGCUAAGUAAAAGAAGUCAGACAGAGAAAGACAAAAACCAUGUGAUUUCACUUACAUGUGGACUCUAAAAA